rnacentral:rRNA from 1 species
UACGGAGGGGGCUAGCGUUGUUCGGAAUUACUGGGCGUAAAGCGCACGUAGGCGGCUUUGCAAGUUAGAGGUGAAAGCCCGGGGCUCAACUCCGGAAUUGCCUUUAAAACUGCAUCGCUAGAAUUGUGGAGAGGUAAGUGGAAUUCCGAGUGUAGAGGUGAAAUUCGUAGAUAUUCGGAAGAACACCAGUGGCGAAGGCGGCUCACUGGCCCAUUACUGACGCUGAGGCACGAAAGCGUGGGGAGCAAACAGG